rnacentral:tRNA from 1 species
GAAGUAGCGGGAGAUAGGCUCUGCGUGUGGCUUGAAACCACAAGGUGGGGGUUCAAUUCCCCCCUUCCUUG